rnacentral:rRNA from 1 species
CGGAUUGGCAUGGGCGCAAGCCUGAUCAGCCUGCCGCGUGAGUGAUGAAGGCCCUAGGGUUGUAAAGCUCUUUUGUGCGGGAAGAUAAUGACGGUACCGCAAGAAUAAGCCCCGGCUAACUUCGUGCCAGCAGCCGCGGUAAUACGAAGGGGGCUAGCGUUGCUCGGAAUCACUGGGCGUAAAGGGUGCGUAGGCGGGUCUUUAAGUCAGGGGUGAAAUCCUGGAGCUCAACUCCAGAACUGCCCUUGAUACUGAGGAUCUUGAGUUCGGGAGAGGUGAGUGGAACUGCGAGUGUAGAGGUGAAAUUCGUAGAUAUUCGCAAGAACACCAGUGGCGAAGGCGGCUCACUGGCCCGAUACUGACGCUGAGGCACGAAAGCGUGGGGAGCAAACAGGAUUAGAUACCCUGGU